ACUGGGUGCAGUGGCGCACACCUGUAAUCCUAGCUACCUGGGAAGUUGAGGCAGGAGGAUCACAAGUUCAAGGCCAGACUGGGAAACUUAGUGAGAUCCUGUCUCAA
rnacentral:sRNA from 1 species